ACCUUUUUCCUCUUGCAGGUGACACAUUGAUACUGGCUAGACCUCUUCAUCCAUCUUUUCAUGGGGACAGAAGAGAAGCAGCGGCUGUGGAACCAGAUCAGGGUCCAGUGUGCUUUGAAGAUGUUGCUGUUCGUUUCACAGAUGAGGAGUGGGAGUUGCUGGAUCCUGACCAGAGAGCUCUGCAUAAGGACAUCAUGGAGGAAAAUCGUGGGAUGUUGGCCUUUCUUGAUAAUGAUGGACUGGAAAUUAAGAACAAGGGUGACCAUGACAAAAUCCCCACAAUGGAGAAGCCGUAUAAAUAUCUUGAAUGUGGAAAAAAAUCUUAUUCCACUUCCCAUC